CAGAAAAUGGCAGGUGUUAAGUGAUCAGUGUCUUAAGUGUUUGAGAGUGUUAAGUGUGCAGUGUGUUAGGUGUUGAGUGUGUGAAGUGUAGAGUGUAUUAAGUGUGCAGUUAAGUGUGCAGCAAAGUGUGCAGCAAAGUGUGCAGUGUGUUAGGUGUGCAGAGUGGUAGGUUGCAGAGUGUUAGGUGUGCAGAGUGUCAGGUGUGCAGUGUGUUAAGUGUGCAGAGUGUCAGGUGUGCAGAGUGUCAGGUGUGCAGAGUGUCAGGUGUACAGAGUGUCAGGUGUGCAGAGUGUCAGGUGUGCAGAGUGUCAGGUGUGCAGUGUGUUAAGUGUGCAGAGUGUCAGGUGUACAGAGUGUCAGGUGUGCAGAGUGUUAGGUGUGCAG
ensembl:lncRNA